rnacentral:lncRNA from 1 species
GAUAACAAAGGGUUUUGAACUCGGUAGUCAUGUUGUGUGAUUUUUCUUUCUCUUUUUCUCGUGCAUCACGUAUACUCUGGGGGUUAAUUUCACUUUUUUGACUCUUUUUCUACUCAAAUUUUUCGAGCAUUUUAUAUUGGUUUUGAACUCGGUAGUCAUGUUGUGUGAUUUUUCUUUCUCUUUUUCUCGUGCAUCACGUAUACUCUGGGGGUUAAUUUCACUUUUUUGACUCUUUUUCUACUCAAAUUUUUCGAGCAUUUUAUAUGUGUUAGAGUCUUAAGUCUCGGCAAGUGCAUUUUUCUCUUUUUUUUUUCUUUUCUCUUUUUUUUUCUUUUACAGAUCAUACAUACUCUUUUUCUUUUUGUAUGAUCUCUUAUUAUGCACUUGCCUUCUCUUUCAAGAUUUCCACCCCAAACUUAGUUUUAUUGCACAUAUUGCAAUU